rnacentral:rRNA from 1 species
UACGUAGGGUGCAAGCGUUGUCCGGAAUUAUUGGGCGUAAAGAGCUCGUAGGCGGUUUGUCGCGUCUGCUGUGAAAACUCGGGGCUUAACCCCGGGCCUGCGGUGGGUACGGGCAGACUAGAGUGCGGUAGGGGAGACUGGAAUUCCUGGUGUAGCGGUGAAAUGCGCAGAUAUCAGGAGGAACACCGGUGGCGAAGGCGGGUCUCUGGGCCGUAACUGACGCUGAGGAGCGAAAGCGUGGGGAGCGAACAGG